CAAAAGUAAAACGGAUUUGUGUGGCAUUUGUGCUAUUUCAACUUUCUUGGAACUUGAAACGUUUCCAGGAAAGCUUCAUAAAUAGUCCCAGAAAAGACAAACUGUCACGAAGGAAUUUAAUCGGUUUCUUGGGGGGUGCCUGUGGGUAAGUGGGUAAAAUCACGGGCAGCUCCUCUGCCUUUAUUACUCUUUCUCAGCACUGACCCCAGCAGCUGAAGAAUCAAGAUUAGCAAGGAAAAGGGGUUUGCUGCAAGAAAUCUGAAGUUGGAAGAAUUCUGCUAACGGCAUAACCGGGAAUCAGGGGAAGGCAAGUGGGGGUCAAGGAGAGUAAAUUCCUCCUGAGGCUGGGUAACCCCAGUGACUAUCCUUUUUUCCACCCUGCACCUCAUCCAUUUGCAGUUUCCAGUACUAGCUCAAUACGCCACAACUUUCCAGGCAUCUGUGAGUAAGUAGCUCAUGGGGAAGAGAAAGAAAGGUCUGGAGGAGAGAGGAGGUAUUCGGAGAGGAAGAGAAAGAAGGGCAACUCACAACCAACGACGUGUCACCAAAAAAGGAAAGGAAAUUACGCCUGUCUUCCAACUUUCCACAUCCCUCAAAAAUUUAAGGAAAUAAAACCCAAACCGCAACUCCUUGGGGAAAACCCAGACAAAGUGGAGUAGAGCUGGCAGAAACGUGGGCACGAAGAGUGGAACCAGUAUCUGCACUCCGCUCCAUCCAGUUUCAGGUGUACAACAGAGUGACUUGGCAAUUAUAUACAUUACUCAUUGCUCACCACGUCCCUUGGCCCAAACCCUCCUGGAAGCCAGAGAACGAGGGAGUCUGGGAUAUGCAGUCUGUAGAGGCCAGCCUCCUGGGAACACAGGAGCAAGUAGAAUACAGGUGAGAAUGGACCUGGUGGGACUAAUGGAAUAUAAGCAGCACGGUCGGGGAAUGGGAGGUCAUUACAGAAAUCAAAAUGAGCUCUAAAGCAGUAAAUAAAUCUGCAGUUUUGGCACAGCUGAGUUUAUGGCCCUAUGUUCAUGGGUGAUAUAGGAACCCUAAAUUAAGAGAAAGAAAGCAGAGGAUUGGGUUUCAGCUCAUUCAAGGGCUAGUAGGUUUAUGCUGCAGUUGUUUUGUCUUCUGAUCUAGAGGAUUCUGAAAUAACCCCUCUAGAAUCUAUGUGGAUGCAGGGCCCUUAAUUUGCCUAUCAUUCUCCAGCUGUUGGAAAACAUCAGCUCUUACCUCAAAUUUACUAAUAGUCUCAUUGUUGAAGUGGGGAUAUCUGAUGAAGAGUUUGACUUAUGAUAAUAAUCCUUGGAGUUAGAUUGUGGGACUGCUGGCUUUCCAGAACCCUGGAAGGCUAAGGCAUGGAUAUUUUUUUUAGGAAGACCUUACUUUCUCCUGAUGAAUAAGUAAUAUGAAUAUGCUCUUACUCAGUUUUGUUCAAGAGACAAAACAUCUAGUAUUUAUAGACAUCUGUUAAAUAGAAACAUAUAGAUUCUUAGGUUAAGUCUUCUAGGAGGAUGAUGUAAGCGUGAUUAUAAAAGAGCAAUAAUAUAAAAGCCUGAGUAAAAAGGGGCAGGAAUUUGAAUGUUUUGCAAUUCUGAUAGAAAUUUACUUGUAUGAGAGUUAUUACAGGAAGCUGUGUGUGAUGGAGGAACCCAGACUCUAAUGAAAAGCCAUGUAAAUGUGUAAUUUACACAGCCUAAAUGAACUCUG